rnacentral:sRNA from 1 species
CUAGUUCUGUCUAUUCUGUGACAAUCAUAUUAACAAGUGGGAAGGAAACCCAGGUCAUUGGAAAUUUGUGGUUAGGAGACUGGAGUGUUUCUUGAUGGGCUCACAUAAGCACAUGUCCAUGUGUCGUUGUUGUUGUUUAAUCAGGAUAUCCAAAAGAAACAAUGCAGAUGUUUAAAACUAUUUAUGGGUAUUUUCGGGGUAGGGGCAGAUAUCAUGAGAUCAGCUACUGUUUAGCUUCACUGUUAAUUCCUUCCUGGGGCAUCUAGGGGUUACACUUGGAGGCCACCCUGCUACUUCCAGCAUUGCUAGCGGUGGGAAAGCCAUUCAUUGUCUGACGAAGUCCCUCAUCCAUUUCAAGCUACCUUGAGGCAAACCAGUCUCCUCCGUGUGCUAGCAGUGAGGUCUUGGGCCAAGGAGAAAGAAAAGAAAUCGCACGACUUAACCAUGAGGGACAGCAUCAGACUAGAAACUGAUCAAAGAAGCAGACCGAUGUGCAGCCAAGAGGAAGCAGAAGAAGCAUGGUGUCAUCGUAUCACAGAAGCCAAGAGAGGAAGAAGGGACGAAACGUGUUCAGCACGGAAAGAAGUUGCAUAAACCAUCUUAAUGAGAGAAGUCGAUCUCGCAUGGCUAUGACUUGGUUCCCCUUUGUUCGUGGCACACACAGAAACAUGGAGUGUCCUUACUAAAAGCUAUCCAGCAAUGCCCUCCAGAAGUCCCCUGUCUGAUGUCGAUCCACAAACCGCCUGACAUUUUCACAUUCCACCCUCAACAAUUUCAUGAACAGGUAAGCCUUAUUUGUAGCAUUAUGUCGAUUUUAAUGGC